rnacentral:rRNA from 1 species
CCUACGGGAGGCAGCAGUAGGGAAUCUUCCACAAUGGGCGAAAGCCUGAUGGAGCAACGCCGCGUGGGUGAAGAAGGUCUUCGGAUCGUAAACCCCUGUUGUUAGAGAAGAAAGUGCGUGAGAGUAACUGUUCACGUUUCGACGGUACCUAACCAGAAAGCCACGGCUAACUACGUGCCAGCAGCCGCGGUAAUACGUAGGUUGCAAGCGUUAUCCGGAUUUAUUGGGCGUAAAGGGAACGCAGGCGGUCUUUUAAGUCUGCUGUGAAAGCCAUCGGCUUAACCGGAGUAGGGCAUGGGAAACGGGGAGACUGGAGUGCAGAAGAGGAGAGUGAAACUCCAGGGG